rnacentral:rRNA from 1 species
GACGAACGCUGGCGGCGUGCCUAACACAUGCAAGUCGAACGGAGAAAUUCAGCAAUGGAUUUCUUAGUGGCGAACGGGUGAGUAACGCGUAGAUAACCUGCCUCUAAGAUGGGGACAACAACUCGAAAGGGUUGCUAAUACCGAAUGUGAACAGUGCCUCGCAUGAGAUGCUGUUUGAAGGUGGCCUCUGAAUAUGCUACCGCUUAGCGAUGGGUCUGCGUCUGAUUAGCUAGUUGGAGGGGUAAUGGCCUACCAAGGCGACGAUCAGUAGCCGGUCUGAGAGGAUGAACGGCGACACUGGGACUGAGUCACGGCCCAGACUCCGACGGGAGGCAGCAGUGGGGAAUCUUCCGCAAUGGACGAAAGUCUGACGGAGCAACGCCGCGUGAGUGAAGAAGGUUUUCGGAUCGUAAAGCUCUGUCUUCAGGGACGAAUGUGCAGAUUGUAAAUAAUGGUUUGCAAUGACGGUACCUGAGGAGGAAGCCACGGCUAACUACGUGCCAGCCGCCGCCGUAAGAC